AUGCAUUUAUCUCCUCUUUUCUCUGCUUUUUUUAGUCAGCCGGCCACUGAUUUUUCUUUCUUUGUCCGACUCCAUGCGAGCAGCCGGACGCCAGCACCCGACCACUUCUUUUUUUUGGCUGGGCACAAAGCCCUUGACUUUGCUUCUCUUUUUCAGCCGGCCUGGGCACUUUUUUUCUUUUGCCGGCAUCUUGACUUUUCUCUGUGUCGCUUUAUUUCUUUCUCUUUUAUCUUCUUUUCGUUGCCUGAGCAGUCGGCAGGAGUGGGACGCGGCCGAGGCCGGCUGGCACACCCAGCCGGCGGCCGGGUCACGGGCGAAGCCGGCGGGCCGGGAUGCCACAGCAGCCGGCGGUCGGGACGCGGCACGGUAGCGGAGGCGGCGCGCUGGGUCGAAGGCGGAGCCGGCUGUUGCAGGCUGCGUGCGGGGCUGGCGUGCGAGAGCCGGCCAAGGAGGCGUAGACGCCUGGAGCUGGCCAGCGCUGGGCGGCAAGCCGGCGGGCGCGCGGGAGCCGGUGAGGAGCGGCGCGGGACGGACCCGGCAAGACGGACGGGUGGGCGAGGCGGCAAGCCGGCCUGCCGGGUUGCGGGCGGACCUGGUGCAGAGCGACCGGGCAGAGGCGGAGCCGGCCGGGAGGGCGACUGGCGGAGGGGACCGGACCCGUCCAGGCACGGGGCAAGGCGGAGAGCAGGAGUGGCGCGGAGCUGGUGUGCAUGGACGCGGGGCAGGAGGAGGAGGCGCCACGCGCGUGCGGGGCGGGAGCCGGCCUGGAGCCGCGGCCGGCCGGAGCACUGGCGGGAGGCGUGGCGGAGCUUUGAGCCAGCUGCAGCGGCGGAGAGCCGCGGACGACGGGCGGACGGAGCCGCUGGCUGGAAUGGGGCGAACAGGUGCGGGCGCUGGGACGCGGCGUGGUUGGUGGAGAGCAGCAGCGGGCAGGGACCCGCAGGAGGAGCCGCAGUUUGUUUGUCAGGUUGUAACCACGGUUGCAUGGUAGAAGAGGCGGACGAGGGGCGCAGGCAAGUUGCGCCAUGGCCACGGUUGAUCUGGCUACAGAGGCCAUGGCCGGCGGCUGAGGAGACGAUGCAGGACCUGGGUGGUGCUCACAGACCCGGUGGAGCAGAGCAGGUGUAUUGGUGGCAUCCGUGUUUCAUCUGGCCAAUGCACAGGCAGGCUAUGGCCAGGCUUGUGUAG
rnacentral:rRNA from 1 species